rnacentral:rRNA from 1 species
AACGAACGCUGGCGGCAGGCUUAACACAUGCAAGUCGAGCGAGACCUUCGGGUCUAGCGGCGGACGGGUGAGUAACGCGUGGGAACGUGCCCUUCUCUACGGAAUAGCCCCGGGAAACUGGGAGUAAUACCGUAUACGCCCUUUGGGGGAAAGAUUUAUCGGAGAAGGAUCGGCCCGCGUUGGAUUAGGUAGUUGGUGGGGUAAUGGCCCACCAAGCCGACGAUCCCUAGCUGGUUUGAGAGGAUGAUCAGCCACACUGGGACUGAGACACGGCCCAGACUCCUACGGGAGGCAGCAGUGGGGAAUCUUAGACAAUGGGGGCAACCCUGAUCUAGCCAUGCCGCGUGAGUGAUGAAGGCCUUAGGGUUGUAAAGCUCUUUCAGCUGGGAAGAUAAUGACGGUACCAGCAGAAGAAGCCCCGGCUAACUCCGUG